GCCUAACAGCUAGCCCAUCCAAACAAUUUCAACAAACCCCUGUUAAUAACCCCUAAAUACCCCAGUAUUUAUUUUAAACAAACCAUUUUUCCCCCCUAGUAUAGGCGAUAGAAAAGGGCCCACGGCGCAAUAGAGAAAGUACCGCAAGGGAACGCUGAAAGAGAAGUGAAACAACCCAGUAAAGCCUAAAAAAGCAGAGAUCAAAACUCGUACCUUUUGCAUCAUGAUUUAGCAAGUGUAACCCAAGCAAAGCGUACUUUAGUUUGACGUCCCGAAACUAGGUGAGCUACUCCAAGACAGCCUAUCAAUAGGGCGUACCCGUCUCUGUGGCAAAAGAGUGGGGAGAGCUUUGAGUAGAGGUGACAAACCUACCGAACCUAGUUAUAGCUGGUUGUCCAAGAAAUGAAUAGAAGUUCAGCCUUUCAGCUUCUCUUUUCACUUUAGUCUGACCCCUACUGAUGCAUUAAAGAAACCGAAAGAGUUAGUCAAAGGGGGUACAGCCCCUUUGAAUCAAGACACAACUUUACCAGGUGGGU
rnacentral:rRNA from 1 species